UACGUAGGGGGCAAGCGUUGUCCGGAAUCAUUGGGCGUAAAGCGCGCGUAGGCGGCCCGGUAAGUCCGUUGUGAAAGUCAAAGGCUCAACCUUUGAACGCCGAUGGAUACUGCCGGGCUAGAGUCCGGAAGAGGCGAGUGGAAUUCCUGGUGUAGCGGUGGAAUGCGCAGAUAUCAGGAGGAACACCGAUGGCGAAGGCAGCUCACUGGGACGGUACUGACGCUGAGACGCGAAAGCGUGGGGAGCAAACAGG
rnacentral:rRNA from 1 species